GGGGCAGCCAUCUUCAGACAUACUUACUGCCUUUCUGCUUAGAAUGUCCAGUCCAGCAUUCAACCAGGCAGCAUCUCUGAAAUGACUAUACCUUCGAUCAACCACAGAUGAAAGGUAGGAGGAACCUGAGAAUGACACACAAUACUGAUGUGUCAAAAAAAUGUCCUAUUUUUCCUUUAAAGCCCUGUGCGCUUAUGAGUCGGUGGAGAAGGGAACAAGAAACCUCCAAAGGAAAGAAGACAUCUCUAGGGAGAUAUGAAGAUGUAAUUAAUGCCUAUGCCUCGCACUAGUGACUUUCUCUGAAGUCUAAGAAAGGGCAAUGAAAGGAGCAGAAGAUACACGGAGAAAUGAAUGAAAAUGACAAAGAGUAAAAGCUAGACAUGGCUGUGAGUGACGGGAUGAGUCAUUUAGGGUGAUUUUCUGGAGGAAGCUUCUCUUAUAAUGGCUGAGCAAGACACUGAUCUAUGAAUAUGAUAAUGGAGGAGAUGAAGCCUCAGUUGGACAUCUCUCAUCAUUAUAUGAAGCCUCCAGUUCUGGGAAUGGAUUAUAUCUAAUGGAGUUAUUGGCUAAAGGGACCCUAUGGAAACCACAAACAAUCCCUACUGUUGCCAAGGCCACAGCUUGUU
rnacentral:lncRNA from 1 species